UCAAGCUCACUCCUUUUCCCUUUCACUGCAACUAGGAGCUUCAGAGAGGGAGUGAACUUUGAGAAUUUUGGAAACUGCAUUAUCAAGAGGUUGAACGGGAACGAGAGAGCGAAGGUGUUGAGCAACGGAAAUUAAUAAGUAGUAUUAGGAUGCCCCAAAGAAGUGUGUCUUCACACAUACUUCCUUGUCUUAGUCUCUUCCGCUGCAUUAGAACUUUGUACUAGGAGUUUAUGAACCUAGUUAACGUAGUUUGACUUUAUUUUGACCUUGUACCCCUUUCGCCUUCGAAAUCAAGGUUUUGAACUUGACUUAUCAUCUAUGUUUAUUUAUUUUUUAUUUAA